ACUCCAUGAUUUGGGCAAAUUCGUAUUAAUUCCUUAAAGCGCUCCCACACUUCAUAAAGACUUUCUCCAUCAUACAUUUGGAAAGAUGCUAUAUCAGCCCUCACU